GGCUGUCCAAAACCAAAAAAGUCAUGUAUUGGUGGGUUAUUAUCAUUCAGAGGGUGAUCAUUAGGUUUGGGAUCCUCAUCAGCUAGCAGAACACCAAUCAUAGUGUGUUGGAGGAUCUCACAUUGGAUUGUCCAAGAUUGACCAUGAAAUUCAUCUCCAUCUGUGGAAACAAUGAACUCUGGCACAGAGGCUAGAUCCACUACAGACGCCUUUAAAAUCAAAUGAUACUUAUGUUUGACAUCAUGUUCCCAGGAAAUUAAGCGAGCAAAAUAGCCUAUUGCCUGAUCAAUAUCUUCCUAUACC
rnacentral:lncRNA from 1 species